rnacentral:rRNA from 1 species
CCCGACUUAUCAGCUUGGGGGUGAGGUAACGGCUCUCCAAGGCGACGACCGUGAAACGGCCUGACACGGUGACCGGCCACACUGGGACUGAGACACGGCCCGUCUCCUACCUGAGGCCUCCCGGGGAUAUUGUACUCUGGGUGCUGCCUGAUGCACGACGCCCUUCGAGGGAUGACUGCCUUUGAUUCAAACCUCUUUCCCAUGGGAGAAGCGAAAGUGACUCCCCCUGCACAAUAAGCUCCGGCUAACUACGUGCCAGCAGCCGCGUUAAUACCCAGGGUUUGAGCGUUGACCGGACUUAUUGGGCACAAACACCUUGCACGCGGUUUGUCCCGACUGCUGUGAAACCCCGGGGCUUAACCCCGGUGCUGCAGCGUAUACGGGCAGACUUUAUUGCGCUAGGGGAGACUGUUAUUCUUGGUGUAUGGGUGAAAAGGUUUAAUAUCCGGAGGAACACCUCUGGCAAACGCCGGUCUUUGGGCUGGCUUUGACCCUUUGAAGCGAUUCCCCACUGAGCGAACCGGAUUAGAUACCCUGGUAGCCAUGCCGUAAACGUUGGGCGCUACCUGUGCAGGACAUUCACCGUUUUCCGCGCUGUAGCUAACUUAUUACGUGCCCCGCCUGAU